GAUGAACGCUGGCGGCGUGCCUAAUACAUGCAAGUCGAGCGAACGGACGAUAAUCUUGCUUCUCUGAUGUUAGCGGCGGACGUGUGAGUCACGCGUGGAUCACCCACCUAUCAUACUGGUAUAACUUCGGGAAACCGUCGCUAAUCCCGGAUAAUAUUUUGAACCGCAUGGGUCAAGAGUGAAAGACGGUCUUUCUGUCACUAAUAGAUGGAUCUGCGCUGCAUUAGCUAGUUGGUAAGUUAACGGCUUACCAAGGCAACGAUGGAUAGCCGACCUGAGAGGGGGGUAGGCCACCCGGGAAGUGAAACGCGGUCCUGACGCCUAAGGGAGGCCGCAGAAGGCAAUCGUCGGCAGUGGGCGAAAGCCUGACGGAGCAACGCCGCGUGAGAGAUGGAGGUCUUCGGAUCGUAAAGCUCUGUUAUUAGGGAAGAACAUAUGUGUAAGGAACUGAACACAGCUUGACGGUACCGAAUCAGAAAGCCACGGCUAACUACGUG
rnacentral:rRNA from 1 species